AGUGUGUAAUUAUGCAGCCAGCGGUGACUUCGGGUGGGUGUCGUCUUUGUUCCUCCAGUGGUGAGGUCGAGUGGGUGUGUUCUGCAAAGGCGUCUGACUAUUCGACUGUUGUCCAGUAGGUUGAUCGCCAGGUGGUUAGGGAGGUUUUCCAGCCUGCUUGCGUACCUUGCUCUGAGCCUUGUGGGAGUCGAGCCAAAAUGCCAACCUUAUAUGUGCUAUCGCACUAAUUUGGUAACGAACCAUUAUGGCCAAGUUCAAAUCCUGGCAAAAUUGAAUACUGCCCUAUAAAAUACCACAAAAAGCCCGAGUAGGAUUGUGGCAAGCUGCGGUCACACUUGAUUUUAAUACUUCCGUUCUCUUUCCUGGAAGGCGUGAUCGAAGGCAGUUUAACUUUGUGCAGUCCCUGAUUAUAAAUCCACGAGCAUCGUGUAGACCGGUUAAUAGUUUAUUUUUCAAGACAAAUACUGCCAAGUGAUAGUGACAAUUCGUGAGCUAAUUUGAACUGCGUCUGCUGCCUGUCCCACAUUUGGAGUCAGAAGUCUUAUUGGCCGCGUCGCCAAGGCGGCUUGCAUUGUUUUUCGUCCUCAACUUUUGACCACGUGUGAAAUUUACUGUGGCUUCACCGAUCGCAGAAAUAUUCACAACUGCUUGCAUCAGGAGCACCCGCCGCGUGCAGCGGAAAGCUGGGCUUGUCCCUUUCUGCUGCCAAUCAAGUGCAGAUCGCAGGACACCCCGAGUUGGCGUUCUUUUUCUACUCUUCAUCGCCGCAAGCGAGGAGCAAAUCGCCGUGGACCCAUUUUAUGCACACAUCGGCUUGGUGUGCAUCUUUUCUUCGUUUUCAUCGCACACAUUGAAUUGCGGUGCCGUCCUUGUCGCACACAUCGGAUCAGUGUCUCUUCUUCUUCUUCCGUGCGCAUUCCGAGAAUUUGCGCACAACACGAGCCCCAGGCUGCUGGUUUUGCCGCUGCGUAUGCUGCGAACCACGACACGAAUGAUCGUGUCCAAUCUUGAGUAUCUUUAGAAUAGUUUUUCAUAUAUGUGUUAAUUUUGCCUAAAAAUAUUUACUUAUAAACCUCUACGAUUCUAAUUUAGCUUAACUUGUGGGAGAUCUGACAAAUAUAUAUAUAUGUGAUUUUUCCAAUUUAUAUUAAUACAUACAGCAAAUCAUCAACAGUCAUCAGGCCUCCUGACAUCGAUGGAAAGUGCGUAAGUACGGCAUAGCCGUGAACAAACAAAAAUAAUAAAAACACACAUGCAUAUAUAAAGACAGAUAUUCCUAAAUAAUGUGCUAAAAAUACCUUGCCUUAAUCGUAUAUCUAGAUCACUUAAUUUAAAGAAGUUUAAAGUUUAAAUAUCAAUUAAUUAUACAUAAUUCUAAUGUGAAGAAAGCCAAACAAACAAAAGUAUUAAUGUAAACUUAAAUACCAAUAUUUGCAUUCCUAUCUUAAUUAUUUUUACUUUCUUUUCUCGAAAAUAAGCAAAAUUACUCAAUAAGAGAUUUCAUUAACGUAAAUAACGUAAUUUUUAGUUUAAGGAUUAGUUUAAGAAAAUGUAUCGAAAUAUUAUCUGUAUCUUCAAUUAUAUGGGGUCGAAAAUGAA